UACGUAGGGGGCAAGCGUUGUCCGGAUUUAUUGGGCGUAAAGAGCGUGUAGGCGGCCAUGCAGGUCCGUUGUGAAAACUGGAGGCUUAACCUCCAGACGUCGAUGGAAACCGUAUGGCUAGAGUCCGGAAGAGGAGAGUGGAAUUCCUGGUGUAGCGGUGAAAUGCGCAGAUAUCAGGAAGAACACCGGUGGCGAAGGCGGGUCUCUGGGCAGUAACUGACGCUGAGGAGCGAAAGCGUGGGGAGCGAACAGG
rnacentral:rRNA from 1 species